GGGGAGGACCAACUGGUUGAAUGGAUGUGUGAAGCUGUAGAGCACCGAGCACGCUGUUCUCUGACAUGGUGCAAGGAGUAAGGAGUAAGACAUGUGCAUCUUUGGAACUGGCCUGCUGGUUAGCCAGUCCAGCCUACUUGGUGAGCUCCAGACCAGCGAGUGAUCCUGUCUCAAGGGAAAGGUGGAUGGUGCUUGAGGAACAACACCUGAGGUUUUCUGGUCUCUAUAUGCACAGGGAGGAGCUUCACAAUCGCCUAUUGACCGGGCACCUGUUCCUGCCCCAGACGCUAUGCAAAUGCCGACCAGGAGCGAAGCCGCCAGCCCCUCGGGCCAUUGUGCAUUGAACCCUGAUGGCGCCCUGCCAGCUCCCAGCCGGCCUUUGUUCCCCGGCUGCGCUGCGCCACCCCCGCCACCGCCUCCGCCCGCCCGAGGUGCCCUGCCGAGGAGCCGCCCGCUGACAGCCACUUGGGUCCUUGCACCUGAAGAAAGGCCUGGCAAGCUGGAGGCCUGGCCCACGCUGAGGCUGGGCCAGGGGCCCGGAGAGAGGAGACGGGCAGCUCGCGGCCUGGGCCCAUCGCAUCCUGUCCCCAGGGACCCCGGAGAAGGGGCCUGGCAGGCGGUGGAGGGGGCAACCCGGACCAUGCCAUCUGGGGGCGGAGAGAUUAUAAUAAUCGCUCUCACAUCUGCUGAGGGCUUUCCCGCCGCAAAGCCCUCUCAGGGCUGGUCUCCCUGCAGGCACACCUGCCCCUGGAGGAGGCCUGGCUACGAUUGUGCCUUUCAUGCAGGAGGGAUUGCGGUCCCCAGCGGGGAGCUGGCUGAGGUCGCAGAGUGGGGAGGAGGCUCAAAUCCAGGGCUGCGGAUGUCUCUGCCUCCCAGACUUUAGGCACAGGGCUUGGCUUCUCUCCUUCAUCUCAUCCACCUAUCCUUCAGCUUGGCAGUGACGCCUCUGCUCCAGGAUGCAAUGCCCUGCAAUACCCUGCAGAGCACGGCCAUCAGCCUUUCAUCUCUUCUGGACUCUGGUUUUACCAUUGUAACUGGAUUUUUUAGGCUGCUCUGGCAGCUCCAACAGGCUAGGCUUGGUCACCCAUCCCAGGACACCAA